rnacentral:snoRNA from 1 species
UUGCACUGUUCGUAACCUGUUGGCAGCCACUUCUGAUGAUGGGUUCCAUUCCAGUGCUACAGUAACACCCAGGGUUCAUCCGGAUUGACUUGUGUCUCUCUGUGCUGACAUCUGGGGGACAGCU